GGUUUCGGUUUCGAUUCCAGAAGAAGAAGAAGAGUUGCAGGGCUGCCGGAACCUCACGGAGAGGGUACUCCCGCACACUAGGGCCCUAGAGCCGCAGAGCCAGACUCCCCCAGGCCACGAGGGCCACCCAGUCUCCAACAGCUAGAGGAGGGGACGGGCGACCAGGAAGAGGAGGGAGUCCCUGUGGCCCGGGUGAGUGUGAAAGUCUCCCAGGCCAGAAAUUUCACCCAAUAUGGGACACAAAUCCAAGACCUCGAGAAUGAGACUCUGCCACCUCCCAACCGGCCAGUCCGGGUGAGCCUCGAGCAUCUCGGGGUCCCUCUUGGCCUGAGCUCGGCCCCAGAAAACCCUCACAGUUCUGGAACCCUGAUGUAGGGGUCAGAACUGGGGUUGGUGCGCGCUUCUUCCUGAACGGCGCUGCCCGGCUAGCAAGGAGUCCAGCAUCCACCUGGAAAGGAAGGCCUCCCUGGCUUGUCCCCGAGGCGAGGCCGUGGAGCCUUCCUGAUUUGCUUCAGGCUACUCGUCGAAAAGAGGGCUGAGAGUUUGAUGAUGAGAAAUCGUCCCUCAUUGGAACCCGACACCUCCCACAACCUAAGCGAGGAUCACACUGUGAUCCUUACUAGUCUCUAGUGAUACCCAACCACGUGCCCUUGCCCCCGACUUUCCAGCUCCCUGGAGCUGCUGGGACUACACAGACCCACGGCCGGACAGCAGACAGGAACUUGUUGGGGCUCUCGUCCUCUGCUGAAAGGACCCGAGAAUUCAGCACUCCAGUGCCCGAGAUGCAGUGUGCACAGGAUCCAGGGUUUGUCCCUACCAUUUUUAGGACAGUAAAGUUCUGAAGAAAUACAACUAGUUUGUGAGGAGUAUCCUUUUCUAAACUUGCCUGGCUAGCUCAAUCGGUACAGCAUGAGACUCUUAAUCUCAGGGUUGUGGGUUCGAGCCCCACGUUAGACAUGACUUUUGCCCUCAGGGCUUGGCUUCACAGAUAAGCAGAGAUGAUAUUACAGAAGUGGCCAGAUCCAUAUAAACUAACCCUCUUCCAAAGGAGGAUCUGUUGCUGGUCCAGGGAGGCCGGCAUGUGGCCACCAACCUCGAAUCUCACCGGAGCAACUUGCUUUUGUCUCAUUAAUAUUUUAUUAUAUACGUUUUGGAAUUUAAAAGUUGAAACUUACUCCACAGUUCCAGAUACAGCACUCAGAGUGGGUCAGGAGCCCCUCUGAGAGGUUCCUUUUCUAAGAACUUUCUUGAAAUUCCCGCGAUCGGGGCAAGUGCUUAUCAGGCCAAGAAUUAUCGCCCAAAGUAGGACUUGAACCCAUUCAGUCUCAGUUCUACACGCGGAACGAGAGCUACAACAGGAGACUUGGAAAUGGAUUUUCAGCUAACUCUGGCCCUAAGCAGGGACCUACGUGAUGCUCCAUCCGGGGGUGUUCCCCACCCAGGACCCUCGCCUCCCCCAACCCUGUGUGUCCCCACGUGCAUUUGCUUCAGUUUUCCUCCCUCCUGAGACAGAGAUGCAGCAGGGAAGGGAGCCCCUCAUCUGGCCGUUAUUCCUGUCCCAGCCCCUCUCCCCUUUCUAAAGUAGAAAGAAAGUUGGAAAUCGUGGGCUACUCCAAGUAGAGGUUGGGUGUCCCUCUCCUCGAGAGGCAGCAGUGAGGGAAAUGUGAGUUCCUUUCUUGGGGUGGGGUAGGGGAACCAGAAGGGUUAGCAACGCCGGCCCUGAGGCUCUCGUGAUGUUGGGUCAUCUGGGUAUCCAGGUUUCCAAGGUGGGGGUCAAUGGGGGGCAGGAGAGGGCUUGGCAGUGGGGAGGAGCCUGCCAGGUUGUGUCCCUCUUGGUGCCUGGAUUGGGGCACCCUACUCGUCCAAAAGAGAGAGAGACUAUAUUCAUCAGAGUUCUGUUGUAGUCUAUUUUUCUGGAGAACUCAAAGAGAGAGAGAGAGAAAGAGAGCGAGAGGAAGGGGAAAGUGAGGGAGAGAUUGUGAUUGAUUGUAAAAAUUGGCUCACAUGAUUGUGGGGAUCCCAAAGUGAAAUGUGCGGGGUGGGAAUUCCAUCAAGAGUCCAUGUUGCAGACUGGAGUCAGAAGGCAGUCCAAGGCAAAAUUCUAUCCUCUUGGGGGUAAUCUUAGUCUUCUCUCUUAAGACCUUCAAAUGAUUGGGAGAAGCCCACCCACAUUAUGGGAAGAUAAUUUGAUUUACUCAACUCUACUGAUUUAAAUGUUAGUCACAUCUAAAAAAUACCUUCACAGCAACAUCUAGACUGGUGUUUGACCAAACAUCUGCGCACCAUAACCUGGCCAAAUUCACACACAAAAUUACCCAUCACAGGGUCCUGUCAAAGUGCUGGGCUUCCUUCCAGACUUGUGGUUGCCAAGGGGGAGGAGGGUAGGGAAGGGAUCGAUUGGGAGUUAGAGGUUAGCCAAUGCAAACUAUUAUAUAUAGACUGGAUAAACAACAAGGUCCUACUGUGUAGCACAGGGAACUAUAUUCAAUAGUCUGUGAUAAACCAUAAUGGAAAAGAAUUUUUAAAAGAAUGUAUAUAUGUAUAACUGAAUUGCUUUGCUGUACAGCAGAAACUAACACAACAUUGUAAAUCAACUAUACUUCAAUUUUUUU
ensembl:lncRNA